UACGGAGGGGGCAAGCGUUAUUCGGAAUUAUUGGGCGUAAAGGGCGCGUAGGCGGCUUGACAAGUCAGGGGUGAAAUCCCUCGGCUCAACCGGGGAACUGCCUCUGAAACUGUCAAGCUUGAGUCCGGGAGAGGGUAGUGGAAUUCCCAGUGUAGCGGUGAUAUGCGUAGAUAUUGGGAGGAACACCAGUGGCGAAAGCGGCUACCUGGACCGGUACUGACGCUGAGGCGAGAAAGCGUGGGGAGCAAACAGG
rnacentral:rRNA from 1 species